rnacentral:ncRNA from 1 species
AACAGGCUGAUAGCGCCCAAGCGUCCCCAGCGACGGCGCUGUUUGGCACCUCGAUGUCGGCUCAUCUCAUCCUGGGGCUGGAGCAGGUCCCAAGGGUAUGGCUGUUCGCCAUUUAAAGAGGUACGUGAGCUGGGUUCAAAACGUCGUGAGACAGUUUGGUCCCUAUCUGCCGUGGGUGUAGGAUACUUGAGAGGAGCUGUCCUUAGUACGAGAGGACCGGGAUGGACACACCUCUGGUGUACCAGUUGUUCCGCCAGGAGCAGUGCUGGGUAGCUAUGUGUGGACGGGAUAAACGCUGAAAGCAUCUAAGCGUGAAGCCUCCCUCAAAACUAGGUAUCCCUAUCAGAGCCGUGGAAGACCACCACGUUGAUAGGCCGGAUGUGGAAGAGUGGUAACACUUGAAGCUAACCGGUACUAAUUGCUCGAUCGGCUUGAUUUC